rnacentral:lncRNA from 1 species
AAAACAGCCAGCAGAAAUCUCUUAGAGCAGCUCCUGGUUAACGCUGUGCUGUAAGCUUUGAAAAUCAAUGUUGACAAUUGCAAGGUGCUGCACGAGAAGAGGAAUGAUUUGCAUUGCAGACACAGAGCCCCACAUUAUUUGUGGACACCUGAGCCAUGCAGCAGCUGGGAGAAAACCAUGGCUGUGUGGAGAUUUUGGAGCCUGCAGAGGUGCAUCUCGCUGACUGCAGCUCGCAGAAGGGAUAUGAAGAUCUGGGAAGCCCAUUCUCAUGAUGCAAGCCAAGCUCUGCUGCUCAGAAGAGACACAGGUGCUGCAUCAAGCUGACACAGCCCUGGCUGGAUGUACAUUUCCAGGGUCUGAGUUAAUCUGUCAGUGCUCCUCUCCAACUGCAAGAGCACUUAGACAAUUAGUCUACUGCCAGGGGAGAUCUGGGGAUCGUUGUCGUCAGCGCCGAUGACAGUGCUAUAUUAAGGAUGCUUUAGGAAUAAGAAAUCAAUGAGACAGUGGUUUGAAAUGACCCAAGGACUUUCCAGCCCGGUGAUUUAAUAUCGCAGUGAAUAAAAAAAUCUUAGUAAAUAGUAGUGGUCUAGAA